rnacentral:rRNA from 1 species
CCUUGAAAUACCACCCUUUAAUGUUUGAUGUUCUAACGUUGACCCGUAAUCCGGGUUGCGGACAGUGUCUGGUGGGUAGUUUGACUGGGGCGGUCUCCUCCUAAAGAGUAACGGAGGAGCACGAAGGUUGGCUAAUCCUGGUCGGACAUCAGGAGGUUAGUGCAAUGGCAUAAGCCAGCUUGACUGCGAGCGUGACGGCGCGAGCAGGUGCGAAAGCAGGUCAUAGUGAUCCGGUGGUUCUGAAUGGAAGGGCCAUCGCUCAACGGAUAAAAGGUACUCCGGGGAUAACAGGCUGAUACCGCCCAAGAGUUCAUAUCGACGGCGGUGUUUGGCACCUCGAUGUCGGCUCAUCACAUCCUGGGGCUGAAGUAGGUCCCAAGGGUAUGGCUGUUCGCCAUUUAAAGUGGUACGCGAGCUGGGUUUAGAACGUCGUGAGACAGUUCGGUCCCUA